GUAGAAAAUUUAGUUAAAAAAUAACAUUAGCUUGUCAAACUAAAAUUAAUAAUUUAUUAAUUUUCU
rnacentral:tRNA from 1 species